CCUUGCUCUAGGUUAAUGGUGGAGGGAUCUGGCCUUGCUCUAGGUUAAUGGUGAGGGAACUGGCCUUGCUCUAGGUUAAUGGUGAGGGAACUGGCCUUGCUCUAGGUUAAUGGUGGAGGGAUCUGGCCUUGCUCUAGGUUAAUGGUGGAGGGUUCUGGCCUUGCUCUAGGUUAAUGGUGAGGGAUCUGGCCUUGCUCUAGGUUAAUGGUGGAGGGUUCUGGCCUUGCUCUAGG